rnacentral:SRP_RNA from 1 species
GCUGGGUGCAGUGGCGCAUACCUAUAGUCCCAGCUACUUGGGAGGCUGAGGUGGGAGGAUCGCUUGAGUCCAGGAGUCUGGGCUGUAGUGCACUAUGCUGAUCGGAUGUCUGCACUAAGUUCGGCAUCAAUAUGGUGACCUCCCGGGAGUGGAGGACCACCAGGUUGCCUAAGGAGGGGUGAACCAGCCCAGGUUGGAAAUGGAGCAGAUCAAAACUCCCGUGCUAAUCAGUAGUGGGAUCGCGCCUGUGAAUAGCCACUGCACUCCAGCCUGGGCAACAUAGCGAGACCCUGUCUCU